GAUGAACGCUAGCGGCAGGCCUAAUACAUGCAAGUCGAACGAUAGAAGAGAGCUUGCUCUCUUUGAAAGUGGCGCACGGGUGCGUAACGCGUAUGCAACCUACCUUAAUCAGGGGGAUAGCCCGAAGAAAUUCGGAUUAACACCGCAUAAAAUCACAGUACAGCAUUGUACAAUGAUCAAAUAUUUAUAAGAUUAAGAUGGGCAUGCGUGACAGUAGCUAGUUGGCGGGGUAACGGCCCACCAAGGCGACGAUGUCUAGGGGAUCUGAGAGGAUGACCCCCCACACUGGUACUGAGACACGGACCAGACUCCUACGGGAGGCAGCAGUAAGGAAUAUUGGUCAAUGGAGGGAACUCUGAACCAGCCAUGCCGCGUGCAGGAAGACAGCCCUCUGGGUCGUAAACUGCUUUUAUUCGGGAAUAAACCUACUUACGUGUAAGUAGCUGAAUGUACCGAAGGAAUAAGGAUCGGCUAACUCCGUGCCAGCCGCCGCCGUAA
rnacentral:rRNA from 1 species